CCAUGGAGGUAGCUGGGGCCAGCCCCAUGGUGGUAGCUGG
rfam:Cavia porcellus supercont2_8 genomic scaffold, whole genome shotgun sequence.